GAUGAAGAACGUAGCGAAAUGCGAUAAGUAAUGUGAAUUGCAGAAUUCAGUGAAUCAUCGAAUCUUUGAACGCACAUUGCGCCCGCCAGAAUACUGGCGGGCAUGCCUGUUCGAGCGUCAUUUCAACCCUCAAGCCCAGCUUGGUGUUGGGGAUCGGCACAGGCGCCCUCGGGCGCCCGCCGUCCCCUAAAUCUAGUGGCGGUCCCGCUGCAGCCUCCUCUGCGUAGUAGUUUUCUCCUCGCAAGGGCAGCUCGGUGGCGACCUCGCCGUAAAACCCCCAACUUCUGAAAGGUUGACCUCGAAUCAGGUAGGAAUACCCGCUGAACUUAAGCAUAUCAAUAAGCGGAGGA
rnacentral:misc_RNA from 1 species